rnacentral:rRNA from 1 species
AUAUCAAUUAAGCGGAGGAAAAGAAACUAACAAGGAUUCCCCUAGUAACUGCGAGUGAAGCGGGAAAAGCUCAAAUUUAAAAUCUGGCGGUCUCCGGCCGUCCGAGUUGUAAUCUAGAGAAGUGUUAUCCGCGCUGGACCGUGUACAAGUCUCCUGGAAUGGAGCAUCAUAGAGGGUGAGAAUCCCGUCUUUGACACGGACUACCAGGGCUUUGUGAUGCGCUCUCAAAGAGUCGAGUUGUUUGGGAUUGCAGCUCAAAAUGGGUGGUAAAUUCCAUCUAAAGCUAAAUAUUGGCGAGAGACCGAUAGCGAACAAGUACCGUGAGGGAAAGAUGAAAAGAACUUUGGAAAGAGAGUUAAACAGUACGUGAAAUUGCUGAAAGGGAAACGCUUGAAGUCAGUCGCGUUGGCCGGGGAUCAACCUUGCUUUUGCUGGGCGUACUUUCCGGUCGACGGGUCAGCAUCAAUUUUGAUCGUUGGAUAAAGUCCAGGGGAAUGUGGCAUCUUCGGAUGUGUUAUAGCCCUUGGUCGCAUACAACGGUUGGGAUUGAGGAACUCAGCAYGCCGCAAGGCCGGGUACUUGUACCACGUUCGUGCUUAGGAUGCUGGCAUAAUGGCUUUAAUCGACCCGUCUUGAAACACGGACCAAGGAGUCUAACAUGCCUGCGAGUGUUUGGGUGGAAAACUCGGACGCGUAAUGAAAGUGAAAGUUGAGAUCCCUGUCGUGGGGAGCAUCGACGCCCGGACCAGACCUUUUGUGACGGAUCCGCGGUAGAGCAUGUAUGUUGGGACCCGAAAGAUGGUGAACUAUGCCUGAAUAGGGUGAAGCCAGAGGAAACUCUGGUGGAGGCUCGUAGCGAUUCUGACGUGCAAAUCGAUCGUCAAAUUUGGGUAUAGGGGCGAAAGACUAAUCGAACCAUCUAGUAGCUGGUUCCUGC